rnacentral:rRNA from 1 species
ACGGAAGGUGCGAGCGUUAAUCGGAAUUACUGGGCGUAAAGCGCACGUAGGCGGUUACUUAAGUCGGAUGUGAAAGCCCCGGGCUCAACCUGGGAAUUGCAUCCGAUACUGGGUGACUAGAGUACGGUAGAGGGGGGUGGAAUUCCAGGUGUAGCGGUGAAAUGCGUAGAGAUCUGGAGGAACACCGGUGGCGAAGGCGGCCCCCUGGACUGAUACUGACGCUGAGGUGCGAAAGCGUGGGGAUCAAACAG